rnacentral:rRNA from 1 species
UAGUCCACUGCCGUAAACGAUGGGUGCUAGACGUCGGAGAGCAUGCUCUUCGGUGUCGCAGCUAACGCAUUAAGCACCCCGCCUGGGAAGUACGGUCGCAAGAUUAAAACUCAAAGGAAUUGACGGGGGGCCCGCACAAGCGGUGGAGCAUGUGGUUUAAUUCGACGCAACGCGAAGAACCUUACCAGCCCUUGACAUCCCGGUCGCGGUUUCCAGAGAUGGAUCCCUUCAGUUCGGCUGGACCGGUGACAGGUGCUGCAUGGCUGUCGUCAGCUCGUGUCGUGAGAUGUUGGGUUAAGUCCCGCAACGAGCGCAACCCUCACCUUCAGUUGCCAGCAGUACGGCUGGGCACUCUGGAGGAACUGCCGGUGACAAGCCGGAGGAAGGCGGGGGAUGGACGUCAAGUCCUCAUGGCCCUUAGGGGCUGGGGCUACACACGUGCUACAA